CUCUCUCUCUCUCUCUCUCUCUCUCAAUGACAUCUCUUCUCCAAAAGCUCCUCAAAAGACUUCCCCCCAACCCUCCCCUUCGAAUCCUCGCAUCCUUUGCCAACCCCCAGCUCGCAAAUCCCCCGCUCCAUCCAUCCCUUCUCCACGACCCACUCCCCCGAACCAAUCCGAGCCCGAACCCUUCUUCCUUCCCUUCUCUUCCCGAUGGCUUCCGCCAAUCCCUCCAAUUUUACCCCGGCUUCCCCCAUUGUUUUGAUUUGAAUCCGGUCUCCCGAUCCGGAUUCGAUCGAUGCGAUGAGGAGAGUGACAGCGAUCCAGGGGUUGGUGAGGAGGGAUGCGAUCGCACGGUGUGGGCCGACAGUGUGAAGAAGAAAAGGAAGAGGAAGAUGAACAAGCACAAGUACAAGAAGCUGCGGAAGAGACUUCGGCGCAAGAAAUCUUGAUCUGGAAAGUGCUGCACGUCUUGAGGAAUAUAAGAAAUCAAUUGAUGGGAAACUUGCUCUCCGUCAUAGUAAUCUGAAUCCUGAAAGGCCUGGUCUGCUCGUUGCUUCAUCAGAGAUACAAAGACUUCUCUCCUUGUCUUAUUCAGGGCCUCCUGAAAGUGUUCUUUCAGGAAAAUGUGGUGAUGAUUUGGAUGCAGAUAAAAACAUGAGGGCAAUAAAGAAGAGGAGCACUCUAAAACUUCUAAUGGAACUUUAUUUUGUUGGAGUUGUUGAGGAUGCCAGCAUUUUCGUAAAUAUUAUUAAGGAUCUUACUAGCUUGGAACAUUUAAAAGAUCGGGAUGCAACUCAGACAAAUUUGUCCCUUCUUACCAGUUUUGCUCGACAAGGCAGAUAUUUCUUAGGGCUCCAGCUCCAUCAGCCUGGACAAGAAGUUCAUGAUGAGGUACUACCUAGAAUUUGCUAAGUUUUAUGCUACUGCUUUUGUAAGUUGACUUAGUAUGGAUGAUGGUUAGGUCUUGUUCUGCCAAAUUGGUGGACCUAUUAAUGGGAAUUUUGAAAUUGUUUGCAUA